rnacentral:rRNA from 1 species
UACGUAGGGAGCAAGCGUUGUCCGGAAUCAUUGGGCGUAAAGCGCGCGUAGGCGGCCCCGUAAGUCCGCUGUGAAAGUCAAAGGCUCAACCUUUGAAAGCCGGUGGAUACUGUGGGGCUAGAGUCCGGAAGAGGCGAGUGGAAUUCCUGGUGUAGCGGUGGAAUGCGCAGAUAUCAGGAGGAACACCAAUAGCGAAGGCAGCUCGCUGGGACGGUACUGAGGCUAAGGCGCGAAAGCGUGGGGAGCGAACAGG